UACGUAGGGACCAAGCGUUGUCCGGAAUUAUUGGGCGUAAAGAGCUCGUAGGCGGCUGUCCACGUCGGAUGUGAAAGCUCGGGGCUCAACCCUGAGAGGCCAUUCGAUACGGGACGGCUAGAGGUAGGUAGGGGAGAUUGGAAUUCCUGGUGUAGCGGUGAAAUUCGUAGAUAUCGGGAGGAACACCGGUGGCGAAGGCGGCGACCUGGGUAGAUACUGACGCUGAGGUGCGAAAGCGUGGGGAGCAAACAGG
rnacentral:rRNA from 1 species